rnacentral:ribozyme from 1 species
CUUCUUCGACGGUACUAACCUCUACGCGGUGAAGAAGAGACAACAGUUUCUGAUGAAACUGGCUAAUAAGUACCA